GAUGAACGCUGGCGGCGUGCCUAACACAUGCAAGUCGAGCGAAAAGACGCGGAGCUUGCUCCUCUGACGUUAGCGGAGGGCGGGUGAGUCACACGUGGAUAACCUACCUAUAUGACUGGGAUAACUUCGGGACACCGGAGCUUAUACCGGAUAAUAUACUGAUCCGCAUGGUUCAAUGGUGAAAGACGGUUUUGCUGUCUCUUAUAGAUGGAUCUGCGCCGCAUUAGCUAGUUGGUAAGGUAACGGCUUACCAAGGCAACGAUGCGUAGCCGACCUGAGAGGGUGAUCGGCCACACGGGAGCGGGGACACGGUCCAGACGCCUACGGGAGGCAGCAGUAGGGAAUCUUCCGCAGUGGGCGAAAGCCUGACGGAGCAACGCCGCGUGAGUGAUGAAGGUCUUCGGAGCGUAAUGCUCUGUUAUGAGGGGAGAACAGAUGUGGAAUUAACUGUGGACGUCUUGACGGUACCGAAUAAGAAAGCCACGGCUAACUACGUG
rnacentral:rRNA from 1 species